AGCCAGACUCCUACGGGAGGCAGCAGUGGGGAAUAUUGCACAAUGGGGGAAACCCUGAUGCAGCGACGCCGCGUGAGUGAAGAAGUAAUUCGUUAUGUAAAGCUCUAUCAGCAGGGAAGAAAAUGACGGUACCUGAGUAAGAAGCCCCGGCUAACUACGUGCCAGCAGCCGCGGCAAUACGUAGGGGGCAAGCGUUAUCCGGAUUUACUGGGUGUAAAGGGAGCGUAGACGGCGGUGCAAGUCUGGAGUGAAAGGCCGGGGCUCAACCCCCGGACUGCUCUGGAAACUGUACGGCUGGAGUGCAGGAGAGGUAAGUGGAAUUCCUAGUGUAGCGGUGAAAUGCUUAGAUAUUAGGAGGAACACCAGUUGCGAAGGCAGCUUACUGGACUGUAACUGACGUUGAGGCUCGAAAGCGUGGGGAGCAAACAGGAUUAGAUACCCCCGUAC
rnacentral:rRNA from 1 species